rnacentral:rRNA from 1 species
GAGUUUUCUAAACUCCCAACCCAUGUGAACUUACCUUUUGUUGCCUCGGCAGAAGUUAUAGGUCUUCUUAUAGCUGCUGCCGGUGGACCAUUAAACUCUUGUUAUUUUAUGUAAUCUGAGCGUCUUAUUUUAAUAAGUCAAAACUUUCAACAACGGAUCUCUUGGUUCUGGCAUCGAUGAAGAACGCAGCGAAAUGCGAUAAGUAAUGUGAAUUGCAGAAUUCAGUGAAUCAUCGAAUCUUUGAACGCACAUUGCGCCCAUUAGUAUUCUAGUGGGCAUGCCUGUUCGAGCGUCAUUUCAACCCUUAAGCCUAGCUUAGUGUUGGGAAUCUACUUCUUUUAUUAGUUGUAGUUCCUGAAAUACAACGGCGGAUUUGUAGUAUCCUCUGAGCGUAGUAAUUUUUUUCUCGCUUUUGUUAGGUGCUAUAACUCCCAGCCGCUAAACCCCCAAUUUUUUGUGGUUGACCUCGGAUCAGGUAGGAAUACCCGCUGAACUUAAGCAUAUCAAUAAGCGGAGGAAAAGAAACCAACAGGGAUUGCCUUAGUAACGGCGAGUGAAGCGGCAACAGCUCAAAUUUGAAAUCUGGCCCUUGGGUCCGAAUUGUAAUUUGUAGAGGAUGAUUUUGGUGCGGUAUCUUCCGAGUUCCUUGGAACAGGACGCCUUAGAGGGUGAGAGCCCCGUACGGUUGAAUGCCUAGCCUCUGUAAAUCUCCUUCGACGAGUCGAGUAGUUUGGGAAUGCUGCUCUAAAUGGGAGGUAAAUUUCUUCUAAAGCUAAAUAUUGGCCAGAGACCGAUAGCGCACAAGUAGAGUGAUCGAAAGAUGAAAAGCACUUUGAAAAGAGGGUUAAAUAGCACGUGAAAUUGUUGAAAGGGAAGGAUUUGUGACCAGACUUUUUCUGGGCGGAUCAUCCGGGGUUCUCUCCGGUGCACUUCGCCCAGUAAAGGCCAGCAUCGGUUUUCGGCGUGGGAUAAAAGCAGUAGGAAUGUGGCUCUCUACGGGGAGUGUUAUAGCCUAUUGUAUAAUACCGCGCUGGGGACCGAGGUCGCGCU